AAUAUCUAUUCCAUAUUUCAGCAGUUUUCUUGAGCUAAUGGAAGAUGCUACAAAAACAUCAACCUCCGAUGAAGAAAGCUACAGUGACUUUGAAGAAGAUGUUAUAAUUCUCCAACAUUUUAAUCAGCAGGAACUAAACGAUAUCAUAAGGGAGCUAAACCUUACAGAAAAGUCUGCAGAGUAACUUGUAUCCAGAUUAACAAAAGAAUCCACCUUCUCCAGGUGCCAAUAUUAAAUUCUUGUAAAAGAGGACUGCCCAAGUAACCACCAGGCUUGAAAGACUUUUAAGUGAUACUUAAUUAUGUCUAACUUCAUU